AAUAGUAAGGUCAGCACGAGAUUAAAAUAUACUAACGGAAAUAAGUAACUGUGCAUAGCAUAAAAUUGCAUGAAAUAAAAGUUAUUUGAAAAGUUAUAAAAAUAACCCUAAA